AGAGUUGAUUAUGGCUCAGGAUGAACGCUAGCUACAGGCUUAACACAUGCAAGUCGAGGGGCAGCAUUGGAGUAGCAAUACUCAGAUGGCGACCGGCGCACGGGUGAGUAACACGUAUCCAACCUGCCGCUUACUCGGGGAUAGCCUUUCGAAAGAAAGAUUAAUACCCGAUGGUAUAAAGAGUUCGCAUGUUCUCUUUAUUAAAGAAUUUCGGUAAGCGAUGGGGAUGCGUUCCAUUAGAUAGUUGGCGGGGUAACGGCCCACCAAGUCUACGAUGGAUAGGGGUUCUGAGAGGAAGGUCCCCCACAUUGGAACUGAGACACGGUCCAAACUCCUACGGGAGGCAGCAGUGAGGAAUAUUGGUCAAUGGACGAGAGUCUGAACCAGCCAAGUAGCGUGAAGGAUGACUGCCCUAUGGGUUGUAAACUUCUUUUAGUAAGGGAAUAAAGUGAGGGACGUGUCCCUUUUUGUAUGUACCUUAUGAAUAAGGAUCGGCUAACUCCGUGCCAGCAGCAGC
rnacentral:rRNA from 1 species